rnacentral:lncRNA from 1 species
GUGGUUGUCGUUUGUUGCUUUGUUAUACAUAUUUGUGUUCGUUCAUUUUUUUGUACAUUAAUUCGGCCGUUAGUUUUCUCGAUUGAAUUGUUUUACAUUUGUGAUUUCGGGGCCUUUAAUAGCUGACUAUGCGAUGUAUGCUUAGCUUAUUGUCGAAGGCCGUACGGUGACUUAUAGCUGUUGAUUUCUGUGACAUUUGGUCUCUUGUGGAGAGUUGUCUUAUUUGCAAUCAUAC